UGCGUAGGGUGCAAGCGUUGUCCGGAAUUAUUGGGCGUAAAGAGCUCGUAGGCGGUUUGUCGCGUCGAAUGUGAAAACCCGGGGCUCAACCCCGGGCCUGCAUUCGAUACGGGCAGACUAGAGUUCGGUAGGGGAGUCUGGAAUUCCUGGUGUAGCGGUGAAAUGCGCAGAUAUCAGGAGGAACACCGGUGGCGAAGGCGGGUCUCUGGGCCGAUACUGACGCUGAGGAGCGAAAGCGUGGGGAGCAAACAGG
rnacentral:rRNA from 1 species